rnacentral:rRNA from 1 species
UACGAAGGGGGCUAGCGUUGUUCGGAUUUACUGGGCGUAAAGCGCACGUAGGCGGAUCGUUAAGUCGGUGGUGAAAUCCUGGAGCUCAACUCCAGAACUGCCUUCGAUACUGGGAGUCUCGAGUCCGAGAGAGGUGAGUGGAACUGCGAGUGUAGAGGUGAAAUUCGUAGAUAUUCGCAAGAACACCAGUGGCGAAGGCGGCUCACUGGCUCGGUACUGACGCUGAGGUGCGAAAGCGUGGGGAGCAAACAGG